rnacentral:lncRNA from 1 species
AAAUACGGAGACCCUAAGUAUAGUACAAACAUAUAUAAAUUUGAAAACAAAACUCACUUAUUGAUACGUCAUAGGGUCGUAGCCGCCAUACUUUGCCUGGCCUUAGUUCCUUAAGAUACGCCUCUCCUUUAGUUAACGGAAUAUGUUGACGUUGUUAGAGAAUUUUCCAUUGCUACUUUAGAAUAUUCGGCCAUUUUCUUCUUCUCGCCGAUCACCGGAGCAAAGUCGACCACCAUCCGUCUGUCAAAGUUUCAUCGAAAAAUUGAGUUUUAUGCCGGAAUUCUAACCUAAUGUCAAAAUGUGGAUGGAAAUAGCCUAGAAUCGGUUGGAGGAUUUCAGCUCAAACCAAAGUUACUUUACAAAUGGUGGUGGGUUGAUUGGUGACCUCUAUCUCGCCUAACUCAACGACAUUAGGAUGGAAAAAUUCGUCAGAGUUCGGUCCAACUCGCUAAAAACUGCAUAGGACUUCCUCAUCUUCAAUCUCUACCUGAAACGGGGAGAAAUUUGCCAAAAACGUGAACCCGCGUUGGAGCUCGAAGGACUUGAGGUUUUGCUUCAUUCUUGAAGAAUCAGAGGUCUAGGUGAAGCAUAUAAUGAUGUGAGGAAAGUGACAGUGAUUUGAGGGUUUGAUUCGUCGGAGAAUGACGAUAUCACCGUUGUCUGUGUUUUAACGGGAAAUAGAGUGAGACUAACUGAGUCGGGGACAGAAUGUGUGAGAGUGAAUUGAUGGAGAAGACUGAAGAAAGUGUCGGUCGAGAGCUGCAGAAAAAAGACAGGG